rnacentral:lncRNA from 1 species
AAUGACUGGCAUAAAUUAUUUAAACGCUCAUUUAAUUUGUUAUUGCUAAAAUAUAAGCUUUCAUGCUUUGCAAUACGCGUUAGAAGUUUAAAAUAUAUUCAGUACUCGCGUAAAGAGUUAUGAUGCAAUUUUUUUUUUAAAAGAUUUCCACAUUUGAAACAUUAUUUUUUAACUCUGUGAGACUCUUGAUUUAUUCUUCGCUAAGUUAUAAAGUGUAUUAUGUCUUACCAGUUUGAAUAAAGGUAAUUCUAUGUCUUGUUGACCUUUAAAUAAAGAUAAAUAGAAAAUAUCCAGGUGCUCUAAAAUUUUUAGUUUUUCCCCAAACUUGUCAGACUUGUCAGUAGAAGGAGAAGAGUCUGUUCGUGUUGUCCACCCGUCCGCAUAAUAACCCAUCAAGAGAGACGCGUUGACAGGAAAAUUAGAAGUAUUUUAUUAGUUAGAACCUCCCCAUAAGCGACUAUUAUAGAUAAUAACAGUGAGACGAGGAAUUAAUGUAAAGCAUUUCAUGUCUUGGCAAAUGAUUAAGAGUCGAAACUGGUUAUGAGGGACGUAAUUAUUUCGGAAAGAAUGUCGACUCGUGUAAUAAUUUCUCUAGUUGCUUAAUAAGUUGAGUUAUCUAUCCUCUGAGCUCUUGCAAUGAGUUAAGUCGAUUCCGAGUUUCUGUCUGAAAUUGCUCUCGGAAUAAAUAUUUCUUGGUAAAAUGUUACUGCAACACAGUCUACGAUCUUUGCUGGAUGUUGUAAAUUGUCAAGAUGAAUUUAAAAAGAAGACAAUGGACUCCAUAAGAGAUAAGGGUGCUACAAAACAGAGCCGGACAGAUAUAAAUCUAGGAGACGAUCUGUGUCCUUCUCCUAAUGUAAUUGUAGAGUCAAACAUGCGUCAACAAGAGACUGAGAAGCACAGUAGGAAGAAGAAUCUAUUGUAAACAUCGCAGGACCCACGGUGUCGCCGUUAGGGCCAUCUGGGUCUCACAUAAAACCCUCAUUUUUAGGAAACGGUGCCGGGAGCUGGAUUAUCGGCUGGUGCCAUCUCUUUUACCCCCUGGUCCCUGAGCAACCACCUGCGGCUAUUAGGGGGUUUGUCACGAGCUUUUUCCCCUUUUACUGGACAAGCGUCUGGUCCGGGAUUAUUAUUUGUGCUAUACAAUGUCUGACUUCUGGACAUUUAACAGGCUGCACAAUCUAAUUAGGGAGUCCUUCUUUGUUUAGAAGGUGCUCUUCUCCAUCUAGGGGGUUUUGCAGUGACGUGUGGCAGAUGGCAAAUUGCUGGUUUGCCCGAUAGCUUUAAUCCGUUAAAAGAGGUCAUAUCUGCACCUCUGUUUAUGCUUUGCUCAACUACCAGUUCUGCCAUCAGUUUUGAAAGGUGGAAGGGCGUUUAAGUGGUUUCGGUUAGGUUAAUCUUUGCUUUGUAAAAAGGUUUUAUUUUAGAAUAAAAUCGAGAGUAAGUUAUUGUAAAUAGUUAUUCAGGGUUUAGAUAAUUACUAUCUAGAAUUUUCAAUGGUCCUUGACUGUUUAGAUAAAUAUAUUAUUUAAUUUUGCAGACUUCAACAGUUUAUCUGCGAGUUUUUGCAUUAGUUGUAGUUACUUUUAUUUAUAUGUGAGACGAAUGAGUAGUUUAUUAUUUCUUGAUGAAAUUUUUAUGAAUUUAGCAGCAAAAAUUCUGAAAAUUUAAUUUGAUAUACCGAACAAAAAUUCAAUACUUGGGAGAUUUACUUGAGUUAUGCGGUUGUAAAAUCGAAUAUAAGCCGAUCGGAAUUGCAAUAUUAUUCAUAAACCAGUGAUUACUUUAUUACCGACAUGUCAUACAAACUGGAAACAUGCAAAAGUCUCGUUACGACUUAUUUUUACAUCUUGUUCUAGAGAGAAAUAUUUUUUAAUAUUAAAGUUUGGAAAUUGCGAUCGUGUAUGGACUAUAAGAUGUUACCGAAAUAUGAGGCAAUGCACUUUGCCUCCUGCUAUUUUAAUCUUCUUGCAAAUCAUUUGAAUAUAUAUGAAACAAAAAUUGCAAUGUACUGAAUACGGUAUUCCUACCGGAAGGGUGGCUUAAUGUAAAAGUGAAGAAUAUGAAAAUUACUGUUUACGUUCAAACCCGUUUACAGUAAUUAACUUCUAAAUGAGUUCAUCUGCUUAAGAGUGGCACCCUUUAAAAUCUUGUUAGAGGACAAACGGCUCUAAUAGGAUCUGUGAACUCUUGUUAGAGAUUAACUUUACUUGUAAUGGUGUUGGCUUAUGUAACCAUUUCGUGAUCUUUAAGUCCCGAGUUACAUUAACAUUUUUAAAACGAAAAAAAGGGCGUCACUCAGUCUACGUUAUGACAUAAACUUGCCAAUUUUUACUUUUAAUCGCUUCUCAGGAGUCUUGUGAGACCUCGUAAACAACUGGCGAGUUGUAUCCAAGAAAAUGAUGGUUGUUUUUAGCAAUUAAUUCGGCCAAACCUCAAAUUGAAGCCGAAACAGCAGUAAAAACGUUUUGUACAAUUGAGGGCCUCUACAUGAUUCUGACCCCAAUUGUCCCAAAGAUUAAUUGCAAGUUAUUAAGUUGCUGUGAUCAGUCAAAGUAACUUUUUUUUUUCUUUUUUGAUUUCAGAAUGCGCCGGAUCCUUGGAGGGGGAUAACACAAACGAG